UUCCUGAUGGUCCAGUGGCUAGGACUCCAUGCUCCCAAUGCAGGGGGCCCAGGUUCAAUCCCUAGUCAGGGAA
rnacentral:tRNA from 1 species